AGUGGCAUGUGAUGAAUAAGUUCUUAUCCUACACACUGAAUUUGUUGUGUUGACUACUUACUCCGCUUAUUAUCUGAUGCCGUU
rnacentral:snoRNA from 1 species